UUGUAUUAGUAGAUUAUGCUGAUGUUUUCGUACUUGAGUUAUAUUUAGGUUAGCAAGUGAGAUUUGAAGAAAAAAGGAAGGAAGAUUAGGGUUUAAAAGCACGUUGAGUCGAUGUCUUAGAGACGGAAGAGUUCAAGAGUUGGAGGUAAAAGGAUAUAUUGAUCGAUCAGUAUAGUUCAUCUGAUAUAUAGAGAAGCUACAUGCGAUACAAAGCAUUGAGUGUUUUAGAACUAAACAUCACAAUGUAAUUGGAACGUUUCAGUUAAUGGACUCAGGCAACAUUGUACUAGCUUCCACUGACUACUCAGUGUUCCCGUCUAGCGUGGUGCAGGCAGCUGGGUUAGCUGUAUGCGUUCUGUGAAUGUGAUGUUUUCGUACUUGAGUUAUGUAUAGGUUAGCAAGUGAGGUUUGAAGAAAAAAGGAAGGAAGAUUAGGGUUCAAAAGCACGUUGAAGUCAAUGUCUUAGAGACGGAAGAUUUCAAGAGUUGGAGGUAAAAGGAUAUAUUAAUCGAUCAGUAUAGUUCAUCUGAUAUAUAGAGAAGCUACAUGCGAUACAAAGCAUUGAGUGUUUUAGAACUAAACAUCACAAUGUAAUUGGAACGUUUCAGUUAAUGGACUCAGGCAACAUUGUACUGGCUUCCACUGACUACUCAGUGUUCCCGUCUAGCGUGGUGCAGGCAGCUGGGUUAGCUGUAUGCGUUCUGUGAAUGUGAUGUUUUCGUACUUGAGUUAUGUAUAGGUUAGCAAGUGAGGUUUGAAGAAAAAAGGAAGGAAGAUUAGGGUUCAAAAGCACGUUGAAGUCAAUGUCUUAGAGACGGAAGAUUUCAAGAGUUGGAGGUAAAAGGAUAUAUUGAUCGAUCAGUAUAGUUCAUCUGAUAUAUAGAGAAGCUACAUGCGAUACAAAGCAUUGAGUGUUUUAGAACUAAACAUCACAAUGUAAUUGGAACGUUUCAGUUAAUGGACUCAGGCAACAUUGUACUGGCUUCCACUGACUACUCAGUGUUCCCGUCUAGCGUGGUGCAGGCAGCUGGGUUAGCUGUAUGCGUUCUGUGAAUGUGAUGUUUUCGUACUUGAGUUAUGUAUAGGUUAGCAAGUGAGGUUUGAAGAAAAAAGGAAGGAAGAUUAGGGUUCAAAAGCACGUUGAAGUCAAUGUCUUAGAGACGGAAGAUUUCAAGAGUUGGAGUUAAUGGACUCAGGCAACAUUGUACUGGCUUCCACUGACUACUCAGUGUUCCCGUCUAGCGUGGUCCAGGCAGCUGGGUUAGCUGUAUGCGUUCUGUGAAUGUGAUGGUUUCGUACUUGAGUUAUGUAUAGGUUAGCAAGUGAGAUUUGAAGAAAAAAGGAAGGAAGAUUAGGGUUCAAAAGCACGUUGAAGUCAAUGUCUUAGAGACGGAAGAUUUCAAGAGUUGGAGUUAAUGGACUCAGGCAACAUUGUACUGGCUUCCACUGACUACUCAGUGUUCCCGUCUAGCGUGGUGCAGGCAGCUGGGUUAGCUGUAUGCGUUCUGUGAAUGUGAUGGUUUCGUACUUGAGUUAUGUAUAGGUUAGCAAGUGAGGUUUGAAGAAAAAAGGAAGGAAGAUUAGGGUUUAACGGCACGUCGAUGUCGAUGUCUUAGAAACGGAAGAUUUCAAGACUUGGAGGGUCACACUUCCAAGGGUAAAAAUGGGUCAAAACCAAUCCAUAAUGGUAAUGACCAAAUUGCUGCAAGUGCAGAAGAUAGCAGUGAACAGACACAGCAGUUUCAGUUAGAAUUGUACUGGUGUAUUCGGCAGUUGGAG